rnacentral:rRNA from 1 species
GGCGACCGCUUUUGGAGUUCGAUUAAGCCAUGCGAGUAGAAAGAAAUUAGAUUCUUUGCAAACUGCUCAGUAACACGUGGAUAACCUGCCCUAUGCUCCGGAAUAACCUCGGGAAACCGAGAAUAAUACCGGAUAGAUCACAACGCCUGGAACGGUGUGUGGUUCAAAGGUUACGGCAUAGGAUGGGUCUGCGGCGUAUCAGGUCGUAGGGGGUGUAAAGGACCUCCUAGCCAUCGACGCGUACGGGUGUUGGGAGACAUAGCCCGGAGAUGGAUUCUGAGACACGAAUCCAGACCCUACGGGGUGCAGCAGGCGCGAAAACUUCACACUGCAGGAAACUGUGAUGAGGGAACUCCAAGUGCGCGCACUUAUGUGUGCGCUUUUCUUGACUAUUAAUCGGUCUUGGAAUAAGGGCUGGGAAAGACCGGUGCCAGCCGCCGCGGUAAUACCGGCAGCUCAAGUGGUCGUCGCUUUUAUUGGGCCUAAAACGUCCGUAGCCUGUUUGGUAAAUCUGUGGGUAAAUCAACCAGCUUAACUGGUUGAAUUCUGCAGAGACUGCCAGACUAGGGACCGGGAGAGGUGUGGGGUACUCUAGGGGUAGGGGUAAAAUCCUGUCAUCCUUAGAGGACCACCAGUUGCGAAGGCGCCACACUGGAACGGAUCCGACGGUCAGGGACGAAGCCUAGGGGCACGAACCGGAUUAGAUACCCGGGUAGUCCUAGGUGUAAACGCUGUGAACUUGGUGUCGGGAGUCCGCAAUGGGCCCCCGGUGCCGGAGUGAAGAUGUUAAGUUCACUGCCUGGGGAGUACGGUCGCAAGGCUGAAACUUAAAGGAAUUGGCGGGGGAGCACUGCAACGGGAGGAGCGUGCGGUUU